rnacentral:lncRNA from 1 species
GGUGCAGAAUUGAGACCUUCUGCACCUGCACAUUUGGAAUUUCCCAAUGCCAAACUAGGAACAAAAGAUUCACCGCCCUUUGGCCUGAUACCGGGAGGUGUCACUCUUGGUGCAGAAUUGAGACCUUCUGCACCUGCACAUUUGGAAUUCCCCAGUGCCAAACUAGGAGCAAUAGAUUCACCGCCCUUUGGCCUGAUACCCGGAGGAGUCACUCUUGGUGCAGAAUUGAUACCUUCUGCACCUGCACAUUUGGAAUUUCCCAAUGCCAAACUAGGAGCAAUAGAUUCACCGCCCUUUGGCCUGAUACCCAGUGGAGUCACUCUUGGUGCAGAAUUGAUACCUUCUGCUCCUGCACAUUUGGAAUUUCCCAAUGCCAAACCAUGAACAAGAGAUUCACCGCCCUUUGGCCUAAUACCCGGAGGUGUCGCUCUUGGUGCAGAAUUGAGACCUUCUACACCUGCAUAUUUGGAAUUUCCUAAUGCCAAACUAGGAACAAGAGAUUCACCACCCUUUGGCCUGAUACCCGGAGCAAAAAUCCCACAACUUUUAGAGGCAUUAUUUGGUUCUGUAGAAGCACGACCUGAAGGUCCUGUGCUUGGUCUAACAGAAUUGCAAACUUGCGCUGCG